UAGGGAAUCUUCCGCAAUGGACGAAAGUCUGACGGAGCAACGCCGCGUGAGCGAAGAAGGCCUUCGGGUCGUAAAGCUCUGUUGUCAGGGAAGAACAAGUACCGUUCGAAUAGGGCGGUACCUUGACGGUACCUGACCAGAAAGCCACGGCUAACUACGUGCCAGCAGCCGCGGUAAUACGUAGGUGGCAAGCGUUGUCCGGAAUUAUUGGGCGUAAAGCGCGCGCAGGCGGUCCUUUAAGUCUGAUGUGAAAGCCCACGGCUCAACCGUGGAGGGUCAUUGGAAACUGGGGGACUUGAGUGCAGAAGAGAAGAGUGGAAUUCCACGUGUAGCGGUGAAAUGCGUAGAGAUGUGGAGGAACACCAGUGGCGAAGGCGACUCUUUGGUCUGUAACUGACGCUGAGGCGCGAAAGCGUGGGGAGCAAACA
rnacentral:rRNA from 1 species